rnacentral:snRNA from 14 species
AAACUUACCAGGCAGGGAGAUCCAGGAGGCGCCCAAUCCACUGUACUCCAGAUGCGCUGACCAACGCGAUUUCCACAAACGCCAGAGACUCGGCUGCAUGAUUUGUUGGAGGCCUUGUUCCCAGUUUCCCCUG